CGUAACACCCUUUCAAAAUAAAACUUCCGGGUCCAACCGCUCCGUCGAACAUAAAAACAAACCACAAUGGCUGAACCAGUGAAUCUUUUUACGAUUACUUCUUUCUUCAGUGAGACACCUGAAAGAGUAAAGAAAGGGUUGAAUUCGUUUCACUCCAACAGAGUGGGCAGUGUAGCUGUUUCGCCUCGGGGAGUUAUCAAGGGUAGCGUCCGGUCCAGGCAUCACAGAAAAAGAAAGUUUACGAGGUUGAGGUUCAUGCUGAGGGACAGACAGUGAAGUACAGCAGCUGCCAGUGCCCGAUCGGUCGGGACAAGUGCCACCAUAUGGCGGCAGUGCUCAUAUGGGUGGAGAAAAAUGUGUCCCGCACCGACGUAGAGUGUGCUUGGAAGAGGGCGAAGACACCGAGCACCGACCAGAUAGCAGCAAAGAGAGUGUCUGAGAUGACACCAUCCACAACACAAGCUGGAAUCAAAAGUCCUGUUACUCAGGAAGACAAAGACUGGGUGCAAGCAACCCUGUCCCAGCUUGGACGUUUAACGGGAUUGGAUGGAUUCCAAGAAACUCAGAAACUCCUCGGACUCUCCCUAUCAAGACAUUUGAGGGGCUAGUGACCAACCCCGACUACGCUGAAGCUGAGGACAAGGCUCUUCAUUUGCUGUCAUAAUUUGUGGUCACCAAUAGGGAGAAGCAGCAGAUCGAAAGAGCCACUGUUGGGCAAGCAAAGAAUGCAUUAUGGUCAGCAUAUCGGCAAAAAAGGAUCACAGCAAGCAACUUUGGUUUGGUGUUGGCAGCAGUCAAGCGGAAGUCCUACCCUCCAUCCUUAUUUAAAACACUGCUUGGCCAGUACAACCUCAAACAAGGAUCGAAAGCAUGUGAUUGGGGAAUUCUCCAUGAGCCAAGAGCAAAGCAGCAGUAUACGGAGAGCACUGGUGUCGUUAUCCAGGAGAGCGGUUUGUUCCUUUCGGACAGUGGUAUGCUUGGUGGAUCUCCAGAUGGGGCAGUGUCUGACAACUGCAUUGUGGAAGUGAAAUGUCCAUGGUCAGCCAGAACAAAGACUAUCCGACAGGCAGCAGAGAGUAGGGACUUUUAUCUUUACUUGGACGAAGUAACUGAUACCCUGACACUAAAACCGACACAACUAUUGGCAUCAAAUCCAGGGCAACCUACAUCUGACUGGAACUAGCAGCUGUCACCUAAUUGUAUGGACUCCUUUGGAUCUUGUCAUCCUUCCCAUCC